rnacentral:tRNA from 1 species
GCCUAGUUGGCUCAGUCAGUAGAGAAUGAGACUCUUAAUUUCAGGGUUGUGAGUUCAAGCCCCACACUGGGUA